rnacentral:misc_RNA from 1 species
UCUCCGUUAUCCGGAGCAGUCCUCAUAGAGUUCUCCCUUGCGGGUAGCAACUAUGAGUAAGGGUUGCGCUCGUUGCGGGACUUAACCCAACACCUCACGGCACGAGCUGACGACAGCCAUGCAGCACCUCUACACAGGUCCCUUGCGGGAAGUCCCUGUUUCCAGGGAGGGUCCUGUGCGGUUCAAGCCCAGGUAAGGUUCUUCGCGUUGCGUCGAAUUGAACCACAUGUUCCACCGCUUGUGCGGGCCCCCGUCAAUUCCUUUGAGUUUCAGUCUUGCGACCGUACUCCCCAGGCGCAGGACUUAACGCGUUAGCUCCGGGACUUGCCCCGUACAGGGCAAACCCCAAGUCCUGAUGGUUUAGGGCUAGGACUAC